GCUUUACUCAGGCUAUAAAUAAUGUCCACAUUGAAGGCACGGGUGUCCUAAAGUCUUUUUUCUGUGCAGGCCGGCCUCAAAGUGCAGCCUCAGAGGGAAACAAAUGACUUCACUCAGCCUCGCCCUUUCUUCACCUUCUCACUACACACUCCGAAUAAAAAGCUCUCAGCAGCCGGAGAACAAAAAAAGGGAUGAAUAUUUAAUGGUGGUAUUUGUGUAUUUUCUCUACAGUCGGGACCGAUUGCUGUGAUACCUCCUGGUAUGUAGGUCAAAGAAAAUCAGGAGGGGCUCCCAUUUGGCUUUUUUUCUUUUAGAGACAAAACGCAACACUUCCCUGAUUCUGAUUUCUAGAAAAGGUGCUUUAAUUAUUAAUGUGAUAGCAGGAUGCUGCACUCUGUCUGGGACUUCAUCACACUUUAAUGCACACACAUGCAGAGAUACACAGUUUUAUUGGAACUGCAGACAUGUGAGUGUAGGUGUUAGAUAAAACAAUGUCUGCUAUAAUAUCGGUGUCAUUAUACUCAUAUUUUUAUCCUGUGGUUGAAGCCUUUUUUCAUAACAGAACUAAACGCUGAUGGAAAAGCAUUACAUUACCACAAAAAUAUUUAACUAAAUGCUAAACCAUUUCUCAAAACACUAAAAAUAUUUUGAGGUACAUGCAUUCAAACAAUCCAAAAACGUCUUCUAAAAGGUUAAAACAUUUCAUAGAUCACAGAAUUAGAAAAUUCACAAAACAUAAACAAAUGAAUGCAAUCUUAAAAAAAAGAAAAAAAGAGAGUUUGUGAAAGUGAAAGAAGUUGCUAGACCUCUAAAAACACCUUAAAAAGUAAAUAAUUUUCUGUUGAAUGUCACAGUGGAAACAGUAUUUGUGCAUUUUGUGAAUCAAGUUUGCAUUUCAUUAGAUAUUUUAGAUUUUUGUGAAAAUUCUUUUGGACAUUUUUGUGGUUAAAUAUUUUUGAUCCUCAGUGAAAAUACUUUUGGCAUUCGGUUUAAAGUAUUUUGUUUGGAAAGUGUGCGGUUGGCCUCCCGGGCCACCGUAUCUAUCUCCUUCCCCAACUCUACACUUUUUAUUUAAAGUUUUUGUUUUUUUUUGGAACUGACUUUUGAUAAUGCUUCAUAAGUACAUCUAUAAAAUAUAAUAAAUGCAUCUAUAAGGAGUGAUAAUAAGCAUUUAUCUUAUAGCAAUGUUUAUGGAGUGUUAUAAGCAGUGAGCAAAAUCCUGUUCAAAGGUAUAAUUUAUGUGUUAUACCUUGAUGAAAAAGAAAAAAUGUAUAAUUCCGAAAAUGUCAUAUUGCUGUGGAGUAUUUUUGUCAGACACUUUUCUGUAAGCCUUAACUUACUACUUAUAACUUCUUGAUAAUGUGUUAGAUGGUUAUUGAUAACUUCAUACAGUGCUGUCAAGUUACGCAUUAGCAUGUUAAGUAUUUAUGAAACAUUUUCAGAAUUAAGAAUCACAGAAAUUAUAACUUUUUAUUAAUGGGUUUCUUUAUGAACCCUUGCAACCAGUUAAAGUUGUUUGAGUUAUAACCUGCUGUUAACCCCAGAUUUUUGUCUGUGCUAACUUAUACAUUUGUUUUUAAUCCUUAUUGAUGCAUUUAUAAGACUUUAAAAUGUGAUUAAGAUGUAUUAUUGGAUUAUUGUCUCAAAAUGUGUUAACUCAAAGGAAUUAUCCCUUGAAAUUUUGGAAAUGAGUUCUAUCAGAAAAUUAGAUAAAAUCAUUUUGGCUUAGUUUAAACAGGUGAUUGUCUUAAAAACAUAAAAGAAUAAAAAGAUCUGCUGAUAUCCAACACUUCAUUUUAUUAAAAGUAUGGUUGAGAAACUGAACAUAAUCUAGAUUAAAUUUUCAAAUCUGUGACUGAGAUUAAUCCAGGUUUUACUUUAAUUCACAUUCCCAACACUGACCUCCUGUCUGAAUCCUAGACAAUCAGUGAAAAUAGGUAUCGACCAAAUAGUUAAAGUGCAGUGGAUUUUCUCCCACUGUCCAAUGAAAAAUCUGCAGUUAAGUGACAUUUGGUUGCCAGGGACGUAAUCCUGCUUUAAACUUCAUGAGUGCAUAUAAGCAAAUUACAAACCCGAGGAUUAGAUGGACAACACAUAAUGAGAUGUUACAGCAGAUAUCAUUAUCCAGCCUGCAGAGCUGCAGGCCUGAGGUUCACCCUCUGAUAUUCGACAAAAUAGAAAAAUAAAGCUGAUACAACUGCUCCCUUCUGUUAGUGUUUGCAGUCUGAAAACAUCAAGUUAAGGAGGCUUUGGAUGAGCGGGAUCUAACAGACGGCAACUCUAUAAAUGGCUCCAACAUAAUGUAUUCACUGCAGAACAACAGAGGGAGUUUAAAGUUUUAAGAUGUAUGAGCAGCCUGUUUCAGGGAGGAGUGAUUAAAUCAUGUAUCUACAUAAUUCACAAAUAUUUCACCUUUUCCCUGCAUACAAAAAUAAAUUAGCAGAGCAGUUAGAUAACCUCUAACAUUGUUAAAGCUGUGCCAAAGUUAACAAGUAAUGUAAAGGCACACUGUGUUAGCUUUAAAGCUCGGCUGCACACCCCAGCUUCUGAAUUAUACACAGAAAUGUCAGCAAUUAUCGCAAAUGAGCUCCAAGUAGAUUUCUAAAUUCAUCUUCCUCUCAGUUCAGCGGUUUGUAUUCAGGCUACAGAUAAGCACCUAUAGUGGGCAGUCUUCCUGAGAUUUCAUUCAAGCUUUAAGAUAAUUUGUUUCUUAAGAAUAUCAGCUUUAUAUGACGUUUGCCUCCUCUGAGAUCUCAUGGAUUAUGUGGAGCAGAAGAAAGCUCACAGAGCAGCAGCAGCAGAUGUGUCAGGGGGCGAAUCAGAUGAGAAACAGGCAGCUAUACGAUUUGGAGGUAUACAGGCUGCUUUGAAAAGAGAUCAGAUCAUGAAAUAAAGCUUCAAUACUGGAUUUACCUCAAAAUGAAGCUAAAUCCCAUGAUGAAUGU
rnacentral:lncRNA from 1 species